AGAGUUUGAUCCUGGCUCAGGACGAACGCUGGCGGCGCGCUUAACACAUGCAAGUCGAGCGAGAACCCAGGCUUCGGCCUGGGGGAAAGCGGCGAACGGGUGAGUAACACGUGAGUAAUCUGCCCUCGACAUCGGGAUAGCCCGGGGAAACCCGGAUUAAUACCGAAUGGCCCAUCAGCUUCUCGAAGCGGAUGGAAAAGGUAGCUUCGGCCUCCGGUCGAGGAGGAGCUCGCGGCGGAUUAGCUUGUUGGUGAGGUAACGGCUCACCAAGGCUCCGAUCCGUAGCUGGUCUGAGAGGACGAUCAGCCACACUGGGACUGAGACACGGCCCAGACUCCUACGGGAGGCAGCAGUGGGGAAUCUUGCGCAAUGGGCGAAAGCCUGACGCAGCGACGCCGCGUGAGGGAAGAAGGCCUUCGGGUUGUAAACCUCUUUCAGGAGGGACGAAGCCACUCGGGUUAAUAGCCCAGAGGGUGACGGUACCUCCAGAAGAAGCCCCGGCUAACUACGUGCCAGCAGCCGCGGUA
rnacentral:rRNA from 1 species